AUUGAACGCUGGCGGCAGGCUUAACACAUGCAAGUCGAGCGGAGAGAGGUAGCUUGCUACUGAUCUUAGCGGCGGACGGGUGAGUAAUGCUUAGGAAUCUGCCUAUUAGUGGGGGACGACACUUCGAAAGGGAUGCUAAUACCGCAUACGCCCUACGGGGGAAAGCAGGGGAUCACUUGUGACCUUGCGCUAAUAGAUGAGCCUAAGUCGGAUUAGCUAGUUGGUGGGGUAAAGGCCUACCAAGGCGACGAUCUGUAGCGGGUCUGAGAGGAUGAGCCGCGACACGGGGACUGAGACACUGCCCAGACUCCUACGGGAGGCAGCAGUGGGGAAUAUUGGACAAUGGGGGGAACCCUGAUCCAGCCAUGCCGCGUGUGUGAAGAAGGCCUUAUGGUUGUAAAGCACUUUAAGCGAGGAGGAGGCUUACCUGGCUAAUAUCUAGGCUAAGUGGACGUUACUCGCAGAAUAAGCACCGGCUAACUCUGUGCCAGCCGCCGCAGUAACAC
rnacentral:rRNA from 1 species